rnacentral:rRNA from 1 species
GACGAAUGCUGGCUGCGUGCUUAACACAUGCAAGUCGAACGGUGAAGGGGAGCUUGCUCCCCGGAUCAGUGGCGAACGGGUGAGUAACACGUGGGCAACCUGCCCCUCACUCUGGGAUAACCCCGGGAAACCGGGGCUAAUACCGGAUACGACCGGGAGCGACAUCGCUCCUGGUGGAAAGAACUUCGGUGAGGGAUGGGCCCGCGGCCUAUCAGCUAGUUGGUGGGGUAACGGCCCACCAAGGCGACGACGGGGAGCCGGCCUGAGAGGGCGACCGGCCACACUGGGACUGGGACACGGCCCAGACUCCUACGGGAGGGAGCGGAGGGGAAUAUUGCGCAAUGGGCGAAAGCCUGACGCAGCGAAGCAGCGUGAGGGACGAAGGCCUUCGGGUUGUAAACCUCUUUCAGCGGGGACGAAGCGAAAGUGACGGUACCCGCAGAAGAAGCACCGGCUAACUACGUGCCAGCCGCCGCAGUAACAC